UGAUGGGAAGUCACCUGGGGAGAGCGUCCCGACCUUAGGAGUCGGGGAGGUCACAGGUUCAAUCCCUGUUCCGCCUACCA
rnacentral:tRNA from 1 species